rnacentral:lncRNA from 1 species
AUGAGGGCAGCAUGAGCGGCCUCAAAUGUGCCUUUGGGAGUAGUUAGCCUUUCGCUCUUGAUGAGGAGAAGACGUCGGCCAUCCGCUUGAAGGGCCAAGCUCCAGCGACCCAGGAGCCGUGGAUCUUCUGACUUCCGAGAGCAGCGGAGCACGAGUGGAGCAGAGGGUGUGUGUGCACCACGACACGAUCAUCAUUGAGAUUUUGGAGGAUUGAACAAAAGCAUCUGGUCGGGAACGUCGUUAUGAAGGAAGAGACAAGACCCUGCCUGAGGAGGCACAUAUGAGAAUAACAGAAAGGAGCCUGUGGAUAAAUACAGAAGAGCAGCUGAGGAGGUAGGUAGCAGCCAGAGCUGCGGCUGGACCUGGCAUGGCUCCU